UGGGGCCCACGGCGGUCGCCCCGCAUUUCCAAGGCGCGAGCCCAAGCACCGU
rnacentral:ncRNA from 1 species